rnacentral:pre_miRNA from 1 species
CUACUACUCCCUCCGUCCGAAAAUACUUGUCAUUGAAAUGGAUGUAUCUAGAUGUAUUUUAGUUCUAGACACAUCCAUUUUGAUGACAAGUAAUUCCGGAAGGAGGGAGUAUUAU